UUCAAGACAAACGUGCCUUGAAGUGCAGC
rnacentral:piRNA from 1 species